AUGUCGUCAAAGAACGAAAACAACUCAAGCUGUGCCUUCGUCAACUCAGGCUGGCCUAACAAAGUACCUCAGACCGGGGGCCUGAACCAGAGAAACGAUGUUUUCACAGUUCUGGAGGCCGGAAGGCCUAGAUCCAGGCGGACACAGACACAGAUGCUGGAACUCAAACUGCCUGGCUCAAAACUCUUCAUUGACCCCAGAAGGUUAACUCUACCUACAGGUAGUACAAUGUUCAAUGCAAAAGGCAUGGUUUUGCAAACAAACGCGUAUCUCAGAGGCCAGGGUGCAAGCAAUCUCAUACAUUUUUACCCCUUUAAUUCCACAGUUAUCUUGGUUUUCGGUGGAGCACAGGAUAAUAUGAUUUGUAUUUCAUAUUACUUAACUGUAAGAAUUGGAUACUCACUAUUUUUUCCCAAGAGUCGUUAUCUCUUUAUCUGUUUGACUUUCGUGUCAUAAUUGUGAAAAUCAGAAACUUUAGUUUUUCUUGUUUGGUUGUUUUUAUAUUUAACAAUCACUUAAUUGGAUAGGAUGCUAACUCUUAGAAAGUUAUGAUCAAUAAACCAUCUGGAUUGUUCUUGGACUGCAUCCACAACAAUGCGUUGGCUAGUGUUACUAAAUUUCCCCCAUGUUCACUGCUGCCAUAGAAUGUAAGACUAUUUUGAUACAAAGCAUUUAUGUUUACAUAAAUAAUAACAUUGACUUAAUGUAAAUUAGUAAGUCAUAUAAAAAUUAAAUUUUUCUAAAUCCUAGCUAAGUCAAAGACAGAAAAGGUUUAUGUUUGUCUAAGUCUUUUAUGCCUCUCUACCUGCAGUCUCUGUGAUUCUAUCAAAUUAAAAAAUAAACAAAAACUUCCACAAAACCUGCUAUUGGGAAAUUUAGCUAGUUUUCUGGAGAAACAUAUUAUUUUAUAUUCUUAUCUACACUCUAUGUGAAAAUAAAGCCUUGAAAAGUAAGUGGAAAAAAUAAGCAUACAAAAUAGUAGAAAGAUGUAGAAAAUAGUUUUCAAUCUGGAGAUUUUUCUAGUUGAAGUUAAAAUAAAGGGUCACUUGUCAUUUUUUGACACCAAGACUAAAAGAAUAAAAUUCUGAAUUUAACUCCUUCAAAACAUGACAGUAUUCAGUCCAUGUUGAGCCUCACUUUUAAUGUGAUUCUGCCAAAAAAAAAAAAAAAAAAGGUAGUACUGGUCUCUUUUAUUAGCCAUCAGUUACGUUAGUUACCACAUUAGCCUGGAUCACGGUGGGAUCAUGGCACUGGUGGUGGGGGGGGCUUGAAGGGGUCAGAAACUCUUUCAUCUAACAAUUCUAACAGAAAUUUUAUUGUUACUUAAGACAAACCUGCCUAAUGGGAGAACAUUUCCUAUUUGCUUUGCUUUGGUUGGAUACAGGUAUCAGUAGUUCAAGUUGGUAGCACUGUUGUCCAAAGAUGACAAUUUUGAUCUUCAGGCAUCUAUGUCUUGACUUAAAAACAUCUUUUUUUUUUUUCUUUCAGAUAACUUAGUCCAAACAUAAAUCCGAUAAAUGAUAAUGAAAGACUCUUUUUAUGGAGGAGAGUGUGACACUGGAAACAAACAGCAGGAGCCUCGCGGGAGUUGUACGGAGUCUGGAAAGAAGGUAUCUGGGGCAUGCUGACAGGAGAGAAAGGAGAACACUUGUGCUUCACAAUGAAUUCUUGCCUUUCCCUUUUCUCCUUUUUCUUUCUCUCUUUCAAAGCACUUUUCAAACAGAUUGAAGAGACCAACUGCUGGCACCAAAGAUGAAAAGGGUUUGUUUUGCCAUUAUUAUGUUUUCAUGUUCUCAGCACUCCUGUUUCUUUAUUACAUUUUCAAGUAUAUGUAUAAUUUUUUUAAAAUUUAAAUUCAAUUUAAUUAACAUUAUAUGUAUUAUUAGUUUCAGAGGUAGAA
ensembl:lincRNA